rnacentral:rRNA from 1 species
AACGAACGCUGGCGGCAUGCCUAACACAUGCAAGUCGAACGAGAUCUUUCGGGGUCUAGUGGCGCACGGGUGCGUAACGCGUGGGAAUCUGCCUUGGGGUAUGGAAUAACUCAGAGAAAUUUGAGCUAAUACCAUAUGAAGUCUUCGGACCAAAGAUUUAUCGCCCUGAGAUGAGCCCGCGUAGGAUUAGCUAGUUGGUGGGGUAAAGGCCUACCAAGGCGACAAUCCUUAGCUGGUCUGAGAGGAUGAUCAGCCACACUGGGACUGAGACACGGCCCAGAAUACUAGGGGAGGGAGGAGAGGGGAAUAUAGGAAAAGGGGGGGAAGGAUGAAGGAGCAAUGACGGGUGAGUGAUGAAGGGAGGAGGGAAGUAAAGCAAGUUUACACGGGAUGAUAAUGACAGUACCGGGAGAAUAAGCCCCGGCUAACUCCGUG